AAAAAGCUUUUCAAAAAAACAAAAAAAAAAUUCUCAUGAACCCAAAUUCUAAAUUGUAGCCAAUGGGAAGAACAAAAACCCAACAACAACACUAGAGAUAUAAAUAAACCACAUCCAGCACUAAUUAACAACCCCAUACACAGAAAUGGAAAAAAAAAAAAAAAAGCACUUUCACAAGAAGCGCUUCCUCAAAACCCCCAUCUCAUCCACAAAAUAAUACACACCCCCACCCACUUCCUCUUAUAACCCCAAAAAAAGCAAUUAAAAAGAAAAAAAAAAAAGCCCCUACUACUACGAAGGCCUAGUUUAAUAAUAUGGUAGCUAAUGCAUUAUAAAAAAGCCCAAAAUAUUUAUAAAAUUACACUAAAGCGGCAAUUUUUUUUAAAAAAAAAAAAGAUUAGAAGCGCUUUUAAAACUUUUGGGCUUUUCCAAAGCGGUGCUGUUAUCCAUCGCACUACUAAAACUAGGCCUUAAUUCAACCCAAAUCCCUCUCUCUCUCUUAAUAUAUAAUAAUAAUAAUAACUCUUUUUUUUGGUUUUGGUUUUGGUUUUGGUUUUGGUUUUUAUUUCAGUAGAGAAAAGAAGGAGAGCAGCCGUCGUCGAAGUUGAGGGCGUAGCUGAAGGCGUCGUAGUGGAAGCUGAAGCGCUGCUUCUUGGCCCGCCCUCUCUCGACCUUCCGCAUUAUCUCCGCCCGCAGCCUCCAGUACAGGCUCCGCACGCGCCGCCUCCCUCCCGCCGCCACCGCCGCCGCCAUCACAGUGAGGCUUCUUUAAUCUCUCUUUUCUUCUUCUUUUCUCUCUUUCUGAUCUUGUGUUACCAACGGGAACGGGGACGGGGACGGGAACGGGGACGGGAAUGGGAAUGGAGGUGGGUUUUUGUUUUGUGAGGGGACGCGGUGGUGGUAUGUGGGAAUGUGGGGAGGAGCCAGGGGAGGGGACAGGAGAGGACGAGUUUGAAGAUGCCUCUCUCUCUCUCUCUCUCUCUCUCUCUAGAUCUCUUUCUCUCUCUUUAAAAGUCCCUUUCUUUAAUUCUCUCUCUCUACUAUAGGGGAUAAUGGUUUUGCACUCUAAUCUCUGCAGCUACUAUUUACUAGAGUAGCAGCAAGAGUGAAAAUGUACACAUGGAGACCCCUCAACUAUAUUGCGUUGUGCAAUGCACCGCUAAAGUUGUCGAAAGGACUUAUUUUGGUUCUCUAGGGCAGCGUUUGGUUAGGAGAUAGGGAUAAAAAUAGUCCUUUAUUCCUCACUUUAUAUCUAAGCGUUAAUUUUUUAUCCGAGAAUAAUAAUUCUCGGUUAUUUCUACCAACACCUUCAUUUUUUAUAUAAAACUAUCUAAAAUUAUUCUUAUCUCCGAAAACAAUCCAAUUUUUAUCGAAAUAUUAUUUUUCUUAUUCUCAUAUUUAUAUUUAUUUCUGUAAUAACUAGUUCUUACUUGUACCCUUCUAUAGUUGAGGGGGGAGGGU
rnacentral:lncRNA from 1 species